rnacentral:lncRNA from 1 species
GCCAAACUAAAAUUUGUAUUGUUGGGAUGGUCAGUUUGUCCAGCCUCCCUAAUCCAAUAAAACAUUGCAUACAACAUACAUAUCAAAACUAUCCUUAUUUUCUAUUUUUGUUGCAAAUGCAUGUGAAAGUUUGUAGUUCUACGGAACACCAUGAACCUGAAAACUAUGGGGGAAAACGCAAAUUAGUUUUGACUUCUCCUUUUGUUUCAGUCGGCAGGGUAAGGCUGUAAUUCCCUAUUAUUACGCUGAUGAUUCAUCCAAUCUUUCAAUUUAGUAACACAUUUACACAAAAGGAGGAUUGCGUACGUGCUUACACGUAUACGCUAACAGAUUAGGGUACUAUUUAUGUGUAUCUACGUUCAGAUACCGCACCAGGGGACGCCAGGGAGCGUAUAUAUGUGGAAACUAUUAGAAGAAGAAGCAGAACAACUCCAUUCAGGUAAAGAGAGGGUUCGGUCGCAGAAGCCAGGAUCCAUGACCAUGGUCGGGGGUGUACCGGCCGCCGCCGCCUUCUUCAUCCUCUUCCUCGGUGCCAAUGGUAUGUGAUCAACGGAAUCUGCCUGUGUUUUUCUUUUAGAUAGAUCCACCAGUGACCUGUGUUUCUUCAGUGGUUGAAUGGUUUCCCAUGAAAUUUGUGUGCAAAUGGGGCACAUAGGAAUUCUGAUACCAGCAUCGACCCACCUGCCAUGCAUUAGGCGUACCAUAUGAUGUCCUGAACAACUGUGGGUGAUUGCCCUGUUCUUUUCAUGAAUUGUUGCUUCCCCUGGUUAAUCGUAAUGAUCACGGGUCGACCUACAAUCCACAUAGGUCUUAACUUUUAACUUUUAGUCCUUUACGUUUAACCACAUGAAGCUUUUAGUUUUUCACCUAGAUUGACAUGUUUACAUGACGUAUGGACGUUAUACUCCUGCAAUUGGGACUGUCAUGCUUUUCAUGCUUGUUCACAAUCCAUACACACAGGCCGGGUUUUUUUUUUUUUUGCUGAGUUAUCUCCCUCCGUGCCUCUCUUGAUUUGUUUUUUCAUACUCUUUUCUAGGAGUAUAAGAAAGAUAUGUAGCUAGCCUUGAUGUGCAUAAACUGCAUACAUGUGCGUUUCUAAUCGAGAUACUGCUAUACGUACUUUAAAAAUUCUUAUAUAACUCUUAUAAACAAAAAAUCUUAGCGUUUUGAUCUAGUCAAUUGGUAGUUAUUAAAAAUCAAGAUGCAACCAUAGUUUGCCAGGUCAAUUUUCUAAAGAAUUUGUAAGACUAUUUUUUACGUUCCGUCAACCAUCUAUUUGCAUCUUAGAUCCAUGCAUGUAGGUUGAUACUGGCUAGCUUGGGUUUGAUUUCUAAGAGUUGGGUUUGAGUUUUGAGUCUUUUGACACAUGCUAUUGCUAGUGACCUCCAGGUGCAACACAAGUCAAGUUCACGUUCCAUAACAACUGCCCGGAGACCGUCUGGCCGGCGACGCUGUCCUCGGCGGGNN